GGGAGAGGGGUACAUUCAGGACCAUGAGACUCAUCAUGAGACAAAAAAAAUAAGAGGUAGACAAGCAGAAGGAAGGAAGAAGUAGGGAAAGGAGGAGAACAGUCUGUUUAGCAGAGAGAUGCCAACUCUUCAGGACAAAGAUGCUGGGCACCGGGCAGGGAAAGGCUGCUGGGACUCGCUAUGUGGCCUCAGGGAGGUCGAAGACGGUCUCUGGGCUUCAGUUUCCCCAUUUGUAAGGAUGUUCCGCACCAUCGCUGGCCUCAAGCCACUGGAUGUCAGUAGCAGCCUUCCGCACCUCACUUGUGACAAUCAGAAAUGCCUCCACUACUGAGCCUGCGCGUCCAGAGCCUGUGCUCCGCAACAAGAGAGGCCGCGAUAGUGAGAGGCCCGCGCACCGCGAUGAAGAGUGGCCCCCGCUCGCCGCAACUAGAGAAAGCCCUCGCACAGAAACGAAGAGCCAACACAGCCAUAAAUAAAUAAAUAAAUAAAUAAAUAAAUAAAUAAAUAAAUAAAUUUUUAAAAAAAGAAA